rnacentral:lncRNA from 1 species
AUGAGGGAUGCAUGAGAAUGAGAUGGUAUAUAUGGAGCUGAUUAAAGGCGUUCUCUAAGUUAUGGUCAAUACUGGAGGCCAAUGCAGGAUGCAGCGAUUCUAGCUCGGGGUGGUAUGUCUGAUUGUCUCGACUAUUUUGGAUUUUUCUAGUUUGAGAGCGACUCUAAGUGUUUGAUUCUGGCUUCUGCUGGUGAUCCAAGUAUGUGGCCUCGACUUCAAAUCUACCCAAAGGAGAGUUUUGGACGACAACAAAGAAGAUUUCAAGCCACUUUCUCAUUCGGAAGUCGGUACACAUAUCUAUGUGCGGGUGUCAUAGCUACAUUUGCUUGUUCCUUCUCUUGUUAUUGUUUAGUUCUUGAUAAAUGUACCCUCGUAGCUAUGAGAAAUCUAAGUAUUAUGUUUGAGAGGGGAAGAGAAGCAUGAG